UACGAAGGGGGCUAGCGUUGCUCGGAAUCACUGGGCGUAAAGGGUGCGUAGGCGGGUCUUUAAGUCAGGGGUGAAAUCCUGGAGCUCAACUCCAGAACUGCCUUUGAUACUGAGGAUCUUGAGUUCGGGAGAGGUGAGUGGAACUGCGAGUGUAGAGGUGAAAUUCGUAGAUAUUCGCAAGAACACCAGUGGCGAAGGCGGCUCACUGGCCCGAUACUGACAGCUG
rnacentral:rRNA from 1 species